rnacentral:rRNA from 1 species
GACGAACGCUGGCGGCGUGCUUAACACAUGCAAGUCGAACGGAAAGGCCCUGCUUUUGUGGGGUGCUCGAGUGGCGAACGGGUGAGUAACACGUGAGUAACCUGCCCUUGACUUUGGGAUAACUUCAGGAAACUGGGGCUAAUACCGGAUAGGAGCUCCUGCUGCAUGUGGGGGUUGGAAAGUUUCGGCGGUUGGGGAUGGACUCGCGGCUUAUCAGCUUGUUGGUGGGGUAGUGGCUUACCAAGGCUUUGACGGGUAGCCGGCCUGAGAGGGUGACCGGCCACAUUGGGACUGAGAUACGGCCCAGACUCCUACGGGAGGCAGCAGUGGGGAAUAUUGCACAAUGGGCGGAAGCCUGAUGCAGCAACGCCGCGUGCGGGAUGACGGCCUUCGGGUUGUAAACCGCUUUCGCCUGUGACGAAGCGUGAGUGACGGUAAUGGGUAAAGAAGCACCGGCUAACUACGUG